AUGGUGCAGAGAACAAGAAGAAGGCGACCACAAACAUGUUGGAAUGGUUUAAUAAAACGAAUUAGCGAGCAAACCCACGGACCACAGCACAGAUGUAAAGGACGCACGUGUGGCCAGCCUCUGCAGGCCUGCGUGCACACAAAUGUAUCUUUCAAGUCGGCGUGUGAUGUGGACCAGACCAGACAGCGAGCCGGACAGACGGAAUGAGGGAACGGGUGUCCAAUGUUGAGGAGAAAGGAAAAAAACAAAGAGAGGAGCCUCGAUGGUGCUCGAUUUUCUGUGCGUGGGAAAGGAGCGAUUGACUGGAGGUUGUGUAUGAAUUAGGCUGGCAGUGGUGGUUGUGGGGAGGUAGGAGGUUGCGUCCUGCCCUUGUGCCUCUUCCGCUCCUCUACUCCUCUACCCGUCUCCCUCUCUCCUCUCAGACUGUUUCUGGCUCAUUACCCUCUCCACCAGCAGACUUUCUCCCUAGAUGGCAGUGAAAAGAACUGUCCUCUCUCGCUCUCACUGUCGGAGCCGGAGUGCUGGCCUGCCCUCCCGAUAUUAAUCAACACACACUUGGAAGUGUGUGUGCACACACUCCCUAGCGAGCCUCUCUGGCAGACCUGCCGGUGGGCAGCCGUUUCUUCUUCUGGCCAUCACUUGCAAAUGAGACGUCCAGGCCCUGAGAGAAGCAGGCGAGGGACAGGAUAUUAGAAAAGUUUUAUUGGGCGGAAGCUUUGUUUUUGCUCUGCGGUUUGAUCCGGGUGGGAGAGUGUGGCAGGAAGCACAGAUGUUUGCUUCCACGUUUUCCCUCAUAUGUGUUUUUUAAUGUGUUUUAAAUCACAGAAUCACACUUGGUCAGAUUUGUUUGUGCUUUUUGUCAUCAGAACUGGCCACUAGGUGGCAUUCUUUAGAGAAAAUAGAAAAAAUAAUAAUAAUGGUUUAGCACUCAAGAUGUGGUAAAGACCUUACGAGGUGUGUAUUUAUAAUGCGUUCACACACUGUUGUCUGAACAGUUGUAAUAAAGGGAUU
rnacentral:lncRNA from 1 species